rnacentral:rRNA from 1 species
ACGGGACCCGCACAAGCGGUGGAUGAUGUGGUUUAAUUCGAUGCAACGCGAAAACCUUACCCACCUUUGACAUGUACGGAAUCCUUUAGAGAUAGAGGAGUGCUCGAAAGAGAGCCGUAACACAGGUGCUGCAUGGCUGUCGUCAGCUCGUGUCGUGAGAUGUUGGGUUAAGUCCCGCAACGAGCGCAACCCUUGUCAUUAGUUGCUACAUUCAGUUGGGCACUCUAAUGAGACUGCCGGUGACAAACCGGAGGAAGGUGGGGAUGACGUCAAAUCAGCACGGCCCUCAUGUCCAGGGCUACACACGUGUUACAAUGGCCGGUACAGAGGGCAGCUACCUGGAGACAGGAUGCGAAUCUCGAAAGCCGGUCUCAGUUCGGAUCGGAGUCUGCAACUCGACUCCGUGAAGUCGGAAUCGCUAGUAAUCGCGGAUCAGCAUGUCGCGGUGAAUACGUUCCCGGGUCUU